rnacentral:tRNA from 1 species
UCUAACGUGGCAGAUAAGUGCGGUGGAUUUAAGCUCCACAAAUAAAGUUUUGGGACUUUCAUUAGAA